CCACUUUGUUUGGAGGGCUGUGUUUUAGAUUCAGAGCAGCACAUAUGGAGCGCUUUAGAUCAUUUCCUCUGAGGAGAGCCGAGAGAAGAGGAGAAACUACAAACUGCAGCCUCAUUAUCAUCAGCACGUCGUGGGAAAAUCUUCUUCUGAUUAAAAGUUUCACUGUUCGGGGUCUACGACUCACAGAGGCCCCCCUGGAAACCAAGACGAGAGCCACGUGAGGUAGACUACGAUCCGUCAGGUUUAAAGUCCUGGUUGACGAUUGUAGAGAUCGGUAAUUAUGAUGAACCUCGUUUCCAUGGCGAUCAUGGUCCUAAAGUGCAAAUUCACAAAGAGAAAAAAGAUCGGACAAAAUCUGUUCACCCUAUCAGCUGCAGGGCUGCAAAAACAUUAACCAAUGGGAGCCAUCCGUCACGGACGGCUCCUAUUGGUUAAUUUCCUGCUCCGCCUCUCCAUCCAAUCAUCUCGCUGUAUUGGACACACCCCUCUCCCGUAGUUCCGACUCGUCCCCUCCCACUCUCCCGGCCCUCCUCGGAGCUCUGAGCUCUAAAAGAAGCGUAGCAGCUUAGCUACAGGAGCUGUGAUGGAGAAGGACGCAAAAAAACCCACUUCUGCUCGCCACACCGCCACAAGACCACACGAGGAAUCUAACGUGAAUAACCAUCGGGUCAUCCUUGGAGCGGUGGAGAAAACAGACGCUGAGACAGCAGAGAUUUAGUUGAACAGGUCAUUUUUAUCUCCUUUUAUCUCAUGUUACAUAAAUAACUCUGAUUAGUCUCUGACAUGUCAACAUGGUAGCUGCAGACGGCGCUCGCUAGCAGAGCUGGCGUUUACCGCCGCUAGUCACUAACAAUCCGACAUGGUGGAUCCUAUUUGAAGCUAGUGUAGGAUCUUCUGACAGAGGGGGUGUGUCAGGGGGAGGGCAGUACAGGUUCAGGGGGCGGAGUUAUGGUGGAGCACAGAGGGGCGGGGUUUGUGUGUGUGUGUGUGGGGGGGGACGAUUUUUUCAAAUCUGCCUCAUCAGCUCAGUUUUUGUUCAACUGAGGCUCAGAUCAUCGACCAGGAUUUUAACGAGUUCACAGAGUUUACCUCCAAACAUUUGACUCCUUAUUGAACCUUUAAAUCAUCAUCCAUGCAUGUGAUGUCAUGGUAGGCGGAGUCAUGGUGAUGAACUCUGGGGUCCUCGUGUUAUAAAACGCUGCAGUACUGCCCCCUGUGGUUGAUUUAUGACGAUACAUGAGGUUUUUACCUUUUAAUGCUCUGUAACUUUUACACUUUCAAACCUUUUCCUCUCUUUUUUGGUUUCUGUCGUCUCUUCGUGGAUUUCACCGUGUUAUUCUGAUGAAGGCCUGUGCAGACAGCUCUGGACCUUCAGGCGAUCUGAGACCUGAGCUGAGGACUGACAGCAUCUCUGAGCUCAGAUGGUCUCCUGACAUCCAGACUAACUCAUCAACAGGUCGAGAGAGAAACACCUGCAGCACACCUGUCUGCUCACAUCACACCCUCAGGCAUCAGGUAUCGUGACUCUUCACUUCAGGAAGCUGCUUCAGACCAGCUCAUCUGGUCUCAGAGGACUCUGUCUGUAAACACCCAGAACAGCAGCAGAACCGGGUCUGAGAUCUUCAUGAAUCAUGAACGAAUCAGACAUGCUGAUGCAACGAUUUCAGAUCAAGGAGAGAGGAAGGAGCCCAGAGCCAAUCAGCUGUCAGCAGCUUUUAAUUCAGCUGUUUAUCUCUGCACACACACACACACACACACACACACACACACACACACACACACACACACACACACACACACACACAUGUCUGCGGUGCCAAAUCCCUGAGUGUGAAGCUGCAGAGGUGAACAGAUGACAUGAUUGAACAUUUAGAGAGCUGAGGAGCUGAUCUUUGUUUUCCUGAUCAGAUUAAAGGGAUAUUGCGGC